rnacentral:rRNA from 1 species
AGAGUUUUUUCCUGGCUCAGGAUGAACGCUAGCGGCAGGCUUAACACAUGCAAGUCGAGGGGCAGCGGGGAGGAAGCUUGCUUUCUCCGCCGGCGACCGGCGCACGGGUGAGUAACACGUAUGCAACCUGCCCCUGUCAGGGGGACAACCCGCCGAAAGGCGGGCUAAACCCGCGUACAUGCCACCGGGGCAUCCCGGAGGCAGGAAAGGCUUCGGCCGGACAGGGAUGGGCAUGCGGCGCAUUAGGCAGUAGGCGGGGUAACGGCCCACCUAACCGACGAUGCGUAGGGGUUCUGAGAGGAAGGUCCCCCACACUGGUACUGAGACACGGACCAGACUCCUACGGGAGGCAGCAGUGAGGAAUAUUGGUCAAUGGGCGGGAGCCUGAACCAGCCAAGUCGCGUGAGGGAUGACGGCCCUAUGGGUUGUAAACCUCUUUUGCCGGGGAGCAAAGUGCCGCACGUGUGCGGUUUGGAGAGUACCCGGAGAAAAAGCAUCGGCUAACUCCGUGCCAGCAGCCGCGGUAAUACGGAGGAUGCGAGCGUUAUCCGGAUUUAUUGGGUUUAAAGGGUGCGUAGGCGGACGCUUAAGUCAGCGGUAAAAUUGCGGGGCUCAACCUCGUCGAGCCGUUGAAACUGGGUGCCUUGAGUGGGCGAGAAGUACGCGGAAUGCGUGGUGUAGCGGUGAAAUGCAUAGAUAUCACGCAGAACUCCGAUUGCGAAGGCAGCGUACCGGCGCCCAACUGACGCUGAAGCACGAAGGCGUGGGUAUCGAACAGGAUUAGAUACCCUGGUAGUCCACGCAGUAAACGAUGAAUGCUAGUUGUCCGGGGCGAUUGAGUUCUGGGUGACACAGCGAAAGCGUUAAGCAUUCCACCUGGGGAGUACGCCGGCAACGGUGAAACUCAAAGGAAUUGACGGGGGCCCGCACAAGCGGAGGAACAUGUGGUUUAAUUCGAAGCAACGCGAAGAACCUUACCCGGCCUUGACAUCCUCCUGGAUGUCCGGUAAUGCGGACAGACCUUCGGGGCAGGAGAGACAGGUGGUGCAUGGUUGUCGUCAGCUCGUGUCGUGAGAUGUUGGGUUAAGUCCCGCAACGAGCGCAACCCCUGUUUCCAGUAGCCAGCAUAUAAAGAUGGGCACUCUGGAGAGACUGCCCGGGAUAACCGGGAGGAAGGCGGGGAUGACGUCAAAUCAUCAUGCCCCUUAUGAUCAGGGCUACACACGUGCUACAAUGGCGUAAACAAAGGGAAGCGAGACGGUGACGUUGAGCAAAUCCCAGAAAUAACGUCCCAGUUCGGAUUGUAGUCUGCAACCCGACUACAUGAAGCUGGAAUCGCUAGUAAUCGCGAAUCAGAAUGUCGCGGUGAAUACGUUCCCUGGGUCUUGCACUCACCGCCCGUCAAG